AACGAACGCUGGCGGCGUGCUUAACACAUGCAAGUCGAAUGCGAGAGCGCUUUUCGGAGCGUGCGUAGCAUGGCAGACGGGUGAGGACCACGUAUCUGACCUGACACAUGAUGGGGGAUAGUCCUGCGAAAGCGGGUUGAAUACCGCAUACGGUCCUGUGGGGUGCCACAGGAGGAAAGCUGGCCUCUGCGCGCAAGCUGGUGUCAUGUGAGGGGGAUGCGUCCUAUUAGCUAGCUGGUGGGGUAAUGGCCUACCAGGGCGACGAUGGGUAGCUGGUCUGAGAGGAUGAUCAGCCACACCGGGACUGAGACACGGCCCAG
rnacentral:rRNA from 1 species